AGUGAACGCUGGCGGUAGGCCUAACACAUGCAAGUCGAACGGCAGCACAGUAAGAGCUUGCUAUUACGGGUGGCGAGUGGCGGACGGGUGAGGAAUACAUCGGAAUCUACUUUUUCGUGGGGGAUAACGUAGGGAAACUUACGCUAAUACCGCAUACGACCUACGGGUGAAAGCAGGGGAUCUUCGGACCUUGCGCGAUUGAAUGAGCCGAUGUCGGAAUAGCUAGUUGUCGGGGUAAAGGCCCACCAAGGCGACGAUCCGUAGCUGGUCUGAGAGGAUGAUGAGCGACACUGGAACUGAGACACGGUCCAGACUCCUACGGGAGGCAGCAGUGGGAAAUAUUGGACAAUGGGCGGAAGCCUGAUCCAGCCAUACCGCGUGGGUGAAGAAGGGCUUCGGGUUGUGAAGCCCUUUUGUUGGGAAAAAAAAGCAGCAGGUUAAUACCCCGCUGUUCUGACGGUACCAAAAGAAUAAGCAACGGCUAACUUCGUG
rnacentral:rRNA from 1 species